UCCUGUAACACUGAUUUUGUUUGACUCUCUCAUCCUAGCCAAGCAUGACUUGUUGAGCUUUUGAGGUCAUAGCCUCAGGCAACAUGGGGUAAAGAAUAACCAAGACAAUCUGGAUUGUGAUGCAACUGCAUAAUAGUCUAUGACAAAAGUGCUUAAUACCUUAAUUUAUGUCAUUGCCAAAGACAGCAGUCUUCCAGUUAAAGGACAAGAUCAGCUGGACAAGAUUUACAGUCCAUAGAAAAGUCUGAGAAAAGCCUGAUUGAUUUUGAUCUGCUGAAUAAUUAACACACAAGUGAGAGACAAAAAGCCACCAACAGGGGUCUUGAUCCAUAAGAGUUGUUAAGGAGCAUACCUACAGUGCAGCUAAUAGGAAGCAAGUCAAAGAGGAUAGCUGGUCAUAACCAUAAGGAACUCAGGGCAGCAGCUAAACAUGUACUGGAAACCACUUCCUGAGACAGUCACACCCCUCCCAUCACAGAUCCACACCAGAAAUUCCUCAAUGGACCACAAGCAGUUGAAGACAGACAAGUGUGAACAUAAGCCUAUGUUGGGUGUUGCAUUUGGCAGAUUUAAAGGCAAGAGCAAGCAUCGGUUUUCAUGCAAAAAGGCUCCACCCACACCCUAAAACCAGAUGAUUUUAGCUUUUUGCUUGCUAUUCUUGAGAAGUAUAUUUUCAACUAGCUACCAAAAACUCCACUUAACAACAAGACUUUCCCCAGAAGAAUACCAUUCAUUUCCAUUGCAUCUUUCCCAAGGGAGGGGAGCAGGGGAGAGAACCCAAGGGAACACACUUCCUCUCUCUCUUUUAUGUGGGUGCGAUGAGCCUCUUCCAAAAUGACUCAGGGGCAACAAAGGAAAGAUGUUUUUCCUCUUUCUCAUGUCUGUUCGUUGUCAGAUCUUCUGCAAGCAGAGAUAAGAGCAAAGUCCCCUUCCAGUCACGCGGCAGAGUAAUAUCAGUAGUAU